GCCACUGAUUGGACAGCAGGUUUGCAUGCGCGGCGUCUCCCGCGUCAUGUAGUUCAGAGAAAUAGCAGCGAGCGAAAGCGUCAGUUCAGAGCCUUAAGGCUCUCUUCAACGACUUAAAAGAACAAAAAAAAAUCCACAAAUUCAGUAUAUGAACACUUUGGUCUUCUCUGAGACGAUGAAUAUAACCGGUCUGCAAAAUGUGCUUUGCCAAGAUUAAAUGCAAAAAAAAAUACAACGAAUGUUUUCGCAUUUGCGACUCCACCAUCCAAACGAACACGUGACGCAGGCGUAGUUGUUCGAAAAAGGUUUACACAGGAGCAUGGCUGGAUUAACGCAGGAAACGUUUUACGAGUUUGUUGAAAGUAAAAAGCACUACGUAAAUAACAGCUCAGAAGCGAAGACCCUGGACAGAGCUGUGAUGCUUGUACAAACUCUUGACUAGUGGAGUUUCUUGGUAAAUAAUUUUGUGUCAAUCACAACAGACAACGUGUCUAACAUGAAACGGGCAUUCACUAAACUCCAAGAAAACGAUGGUCAGUUUCCUGAUAUGAAAAGGCUGAGCUGCUUUGGCCACAACCUUGACUUGACUAUCAAUAAAUGACUAAAGCUGGACAGCGUGGAACGGGCAAUAAGGACUGCCAGGAAAAUGGUGAGUGUUUUCACAAAACUGGAAACAUCAAAGAGACUUAAAAAUGCAACACAAGACAAGGUCAUGCAACUUCCUAAACACUCUCUUAUACACACAGAGCACUUGCAAGAGACCUGAAGAGGUAAUCAGAAACGACCUGCUGAAGCGUUAUGCAAGUGACUCAUGCACUGUUUUGGAUCCAAGGUUCAAGACUGUGCAUGCUAUGAACUACAGGAAUGCUGUUUCUCACUUAGUUGAGUAAUGCAUAGAAUUGCACAGUAUAAAUCAGAAGAGACAGCAAGGCUUCAGAGGAAGAAGGCUUGGAUCCAUGUACAAAAAGUAAAACCAACUGGUCUGAAUGAUUUACUGCAACUGGGAAUUGUGAUGACUCGUGUUUUUUUUUUUUCUGAAUAUUAAUUAGUGUAUUUGGUGUAAUUAAAUGGAAUGAUUUUUAUGAAUACAUACACUGGCUUUUAUUGUGUGUUGAUAUGCUUUGAUAUGUUUUACUGGACAGUUAUUUGGGAUAUUUUUUAUGAAAGGCACUAUAGAAAAUUAAUAUCAUGUAGUCUUUAUCUUUUGCUCCUAUUAGAUCAUUAAAGGCACCUAGAUUACAAA